GGUCCUGCGCACACUCAUGGGGUCAGACACACAUUUUUAAUUUUUUUUUGGAAAACACAUAAACUUACAGUAUCAAAAUGUCUGACUUUGGUCGUAUUCUCCUCUACUCACAGGCAUUUAAGUUCCCAUUCCAACCCGUGUCGCUUGUCAUCUCGGUUACUGUCUUCUUCAGAAUGCCAUCUAUCCUGCAGUGAGAGCAAUCCUCACAGACAUGACAGAUGUGAAAGAGGAAAACGAUCAACAGCUUAUGAGAAAAGAAAAUGACUU
ensembl:lncRNA